rnacentral:lncRNA from 1 species
GAAGUGACGUGACUCUGCGUCAGUAGAAAGAAAACACGGCAGCCGGCCACAGUGCUAGUCGGCUGCGGAAACCUCCAACCACCUUCACACCUCCCAUGAACAAACCUGGCGUUCGCAACAGAAUCCUACAUCCUACUCUGCUGCUCAACACAGGCCUUUUGACAUCAACUGGACAUUCGUGUGGCAGAUGGACAUCGUUUGAACACGUAGCGAAAGAGUUGCGCCUAAUGCAACGUGGACUGAGUUCGCAAGUUCGCUGCACCACUGAUGACACAAUCAGUGGCGAGCCGGUGCAAAUUCUUCGGAUAGAAGGCGGCGAGACCAUCGUCGUUUGAUGAACGUGCACUCGAAAGCAUCCUCCUCGCUGACCACGUGAAAGACCGUUCAGUGGUGGUUAUAUCCAUUGCUGGUGCAUACCGACAGGGGAAAUCUUUCCUGCUCAACUUCUUACUGACUCACCUCAGGCACAAAGGACGAACCAAAUGGAUCGAAGAAACGGAUACCCCACUCAGAGGCUUCCACUGGCGGCCGGGCAGUACUCGCGAGACAGCGGGCGUUCUACUUUGGAACGAAGUCUUUUUGAUGACCAACUCAGAUGGAGAGAAGGUGGCGGUUUUACUGAUGGACACACAAGGAACCUUCGAUUGCGAGUCGACAAUGAAAGAGAGCACCGUGAUAUUCUCUCUCUCCUUGAUUGCCAGCUCUGUGCAAAUUUACAACAUAAUGAACAACAUCAAAGAGAAUGACCUUCAACACCUUCAGUUUUUUGCUGAGUACGGCCGACUUGCACAAGAGGACAACAAAACACAGGCCUUCCAAAAGCUUCUGUUUUUGGUCCGGGACUGGAACUGGGUGCAUGAGUUCGAGUGUGGUUUCCAAGGGGGCAGAUCACUCAUGACUAGUCG